rnacentral:lncRNA from 1 species
UUGGGGCCUACAACUUCGCCGAGCCGACUAGCAUCCCUUUCCACUGCCCAUUUUUCCAACAAAGAAGACGAUUAUAGGGUCGAAUUCGCUUUCCGUGGUGAACUGGUCGUCCCAUACCUUCUUCGUGUCUCAUGUGUGUGGAACCAGGUCUUUUUUGGUUCAUUGCCUUAUGUUAUGGUCGCCCCUCGACCGACGGCCUUUACGCAACUACGACUACUGUGAUGUGAGCGGUUCAAUUGGUUUGAUCUUUCCGGCCUCCACUUGUACGGAGAUGCAUGCAUAAAGGACCCGCCCCUUUUUUUAUCUUAAUCUUUAGGACAGGACCCUACCCUAUUCUCGAACCCUCU